rnacentral:rRNA from 1 species
GAUGAACGCUGGCGGCGUGCCUAAUACAUGCAAGUCGAGCGAACAGACGAGGAGCUUGCUCCUCUGACGUUAGCGGCGGACGGGUGAGUAACACGUGGAUAACCUACCUAUAAGACUGGGAUAACUUCGGGAAACCGGAGCUAAUACCGGAUAACAUGUUGAACCGCAUGGUUCAACAGUGAAAGACGGUCUUGCUGUCACUUAUAGAUGGAUCCGCGCCGCAUUAGCUAGUUGGUAAGGUAACGGCUUACCAAGGCAACGAUGCGUAGCCGACCUGAGAGGGUGAUCGGCCACACUGGAACUGAGACGCGGUCCAGACUCCUACGGGAGGCGGCGGUAGGGAGUGUUCCGCAAUGGGCGAAGGCCUGACGGAGCAACGCCGCGUGAGUGAAGAAGGUCUUCGGAUCGUAAAACUCUGUUAUUAGGGAAGAACAAAUGUGUAAGUAACUAUGCACGUCUUGACGGUACCUAAUCAGAAAGCCACGGCUAACUACGUG